rnacentral:rRNA from 1 species
CAGCCGCCGCGGUAAUACAGAGGGUGCGAGCGUUAAUCGGAUUUACUGGGCGUAAAGCGUGCGUAGGCGGCUUCUUAAGUCGGAUGUGAAAUCCCUGAGCUUAACUUAGGAAUUGCAUUCGAUACUGGGAAGCUAGAGUAUGGGAGAGGAUGGUAGAAUUCCAGGUGUAGCGGUGAAAUGCGUAGAGAUCUGGAGGAAUACCGAUGGCGAAGGCAGCCAUCUGGCCUAAUACUGACGCUUAGGUACGAAAGCAUGGGGAGCAAACAGGAUUAGAUACCCCGGUAGUCCCUGUCUCUUAUAC